GAUAGGUUAAACAUUAGCUACCUAGGUCAACACAGACUGCUGUGCGCCGAGGUCCACAGGCCUGUUUUUUUCAGGCCAGGGGCUGCCACAGAGACCUGGGGAUCGAAAGGUCCAAAUGGAAACAGGAGUUUCAAGCCAAAACCUUGAGAAUAAAAAAAGUCCCUUUACCUGACUCCAGAUGGGAUGUUUCCAAGAAAGAGAUGAAAUUGAUUAAUUACCAUGCAUUUGAGCAAAAGGGAAAUCUACACUUCUGGAGAAGAACUUGGAGACAAAGUAGUGAUAAAUUCAUAGAUGAGCAAUCAAAGGAAACGGACAUAGCUAUGGAAAGGAGCUGCCUCCUUCACACAUCAACUGCUCAGCCUGCCCUCUAGUGGAAAACUCUGGUCCUCCAGUGAUGCCUGCCCUGGAAGAGAGCAGGGGCCAGGGCUGAGGAGUGGAGUGGAGCCAGCCAGCACCCAGGGGGGCAGCCAGCACGUGACUGACCAUCAAUGCGAGCUCCAGGCUCUGCAACCAGCAAAAUACUUGAGCAAGGGAGUGAUCUGCCUGGAGCUGAUUUUUAGGAUGGGCUGGAGGACACAAAACCUGCAGGAAGCAAGAGUGCCUUCAAGCACAGCAAAGUGCUACAAAAGGACAAAGGAACCAAGG